CAGAGGGUGCGAGCGUUGUCCGGAAUCACUGGGCGUAAAGGGCGCGUAGGCGGCCACGGUACGCGCGAGGUGAAAGUCCGGCGCUCAACGCUGGAUCGGCCUCGCGUACGGCCGGGCUGGAGGACGAGAGAGGCCGGCGGAAUUCCGGGUGUAGCGGUGGAAUGCGUAGAGAUCCGGAAGAACACCGGUGGCGAAGGCGGCCGGCUGGCUCGUCACUGACGCUGAGGCGCGACAGCGUGGGAGCAAACAGGAUU
rnacentral:rRNA from 1 species